AUGGGUUCUGGCUUUUCCCUCCAGCUUUCACCUCGUGAGAAUUCCACGAGUCAGAUUUCUAUUUUUUAAUAUUGGGGAGAUGGGCCCUACCGCCCCCCCCCGUGCUGCAUGGAACAUUCCAUACUCUGUCCUGGGUCCUCGGUUCCAAGCCUAAUCCCAACCCCCAACCCUCAGCUAUUUAUCCCUUUCCUGGUUCCCAAAAAGCACUUAUAUCUAUUAUGUAUAAAUAAAUAUAUUAUAUAUGGGUGUGCGUGUGUGUGCGUGCGUGCGUGCGAGCUUCCUCGUUUGCAAGUGUGCUGUGGAAUUCAAAAUCGCUUUUGGGGAUUUGAGUCAGACUUUCUGGCUGUCCCUUUCCUAACUUGUCACUUUUUUUGUUGUUGUCUCAGCCCCUCUGGCUGUUGGAAACAGCCUCUUCCUUUCCUUUUAUCUUUUUUCAACUCUGUCUCGCUCAGACCACUUCCAACAUGUCUCCUCUCUCAAUGGCCCUGACCUCCCGUCUGUCUGUUAAUUCCGGAUUUGUCGGGGACAUGCAAUUUUACUUUUGUAAGUAAGUGUGACUGGGUGGUAGAUUUUUACAAUCUAUAUCGUUGAGAAUUCUGGGUGGAUAUGUCUGAUCAGAUGAAGGGCCUCCUGCCGCUGCCGACCACAGUUCAUUGACUCCAUAGCCCUCACCCAGGCUGUAUUUGUGAUUUUUUUUAAAUUUUGUUGUUUUGUAUUUUGCACUUGACCCCGGGGGUGCUGGGGCAGUCUAGCACUGAACAGUUCCCCUCCCCCCUUGGUUCUGCACUGUCGCCAAUAAAAAGCUUUUAAAAAAAAUGU
rnacentral:lncRNA from 1 species